rnacentral:rRNA from 1 species
AGUCGAGCGGUAACAUUUCAAAAGCUUGCUUUUGAAGAUGACGAGCGGCGGACGGGUGAGUAAUGCCUGGGAAUAUGCCUUGAUGUGGGGGAUAACUAUUGGAAACGAUAGCUAAUACCGCAUAAUGCCUACGGGCCAAAGAGGGGGAUCUUCGGACCUCUCGCGUCAAGAUUAGCCCAGGUGGGAUUAGCUAGUUGGUGAGGUAAUGGCUCACCAAGGCGACGAUCCCUAGCUGGUCUGAGAGGAUGAUCAGCCACACUGGAACUGAGACACGGUCCAGACUCCUACGGGAGGCAGCAGUGGGGAAUAUUGCACAAUGGGCGCAAGCCUGAUGCAGCCAUGCCGCGUGUGUGAAGAAGGCCUUCGGGUUGUAAAGCACUUUCAGUCGUGAGGAAGGUACUUGCGUUAAUAGCGUAUGUAUUUGACGUUAGCGACAGAAGAAGCACCGGCUAACUCCGUGCCAGCAGCCGCGGUAAUACGGAGGGUGCGAGCGUUAAUCGGAAUUACUGGGCGUAAAGCGCAUGCAGGUGGUUCGUUAAGUCAGAUGUGAAAGCCCGGGGCUCAACCUCGGAAUUGCAUUUGAAACUGGCGGACUAGAGUACUGUAGAGGGGGGUAGAAUUUCAGGUGUAGCGGUGAAAUGCGUAGAGAUCUGAAGGAAUACCGGUGGCGAAGGCGGCCCCCUGGACAGAUACUGACACUCAGAUGCGAAAGCGUGGGGAGCAAACAGGAUUAGAUACCCUGGUAGUCCACGCCGUAAACGAUGUCUACUUGGAGGUUGUGGCCUUGAGCCGUGGCUUUCGGAGCUAACGCGUUAAGUAGACCGCCUGGGGAGUACGGUCGCAAGAUUAAAACUCAAAUGAAUUGACGGGGGCCCGCACAAGCGGUGGAGCAUGUGGUUUAAUUCGAUGC